rnacentral:rRNA from 1 species
UACGUAGGCAGCAAGCGUUGUUCGGAAUUACUGGGCGUAAAGAGUGUGUAGGCGGUGCUCUAAGUUUGGUGUGAAAUCUCCCGGCUCAACUGGGAGGGUGCAUCGAAAACUGGAAUGCUAGAGGGUGGGAGAGGUAAGCGGAAUUCCUGGUGUAGCGGUGAAAUGCGUAGAUAUCAGGAGGAACACCUAUAGCGAAGGCAGCUUGCUGGGACGUAACUGACGCUAAGGCGCGAAAGCGUGGGGAGCAAACAGG